UACAGGGCAGGAUCCCUGAACCUGACCCCUUCUGCCUCCAGGUAUAGAUGGAAGCAGCCUCUUGGGGUGAAGCCUUGUUCCAUCCGACGAUGCUGGCUUCCAGGCGCCCUGAUUCUGUGUGUCGCCAUAUGUGGCAAUGACACCGAAGAGGGCUCUUGCAGCAGAUGGAGAAUCAUAGAACCAUUUGAAUUGGAAGGGACCCUUAAAGGCCAUCUAGUCCAACCCCCUCCAAUGAACAGGGACACCUACAGCUCCAUCAGGUGCUCAGAGCCCAGUCCCCCUGACUCUGAGUAUCUCCAGGAAUGGGGCACCCACCACCUCCCUGGGCAACCUGGGGCAGUGCUUUGUGGCCUUACAGAUUGCGUUGAGUGGUGCCCUUCAGACAGUGUCCCCAGACGGGGCAGUGUGACACUCGCACCCAAAUCCAUAAAUCCUAGAGCGAUGCCUCCAUUCACUGUCUGAUUCAGCUGGGUUGGAAGCAACACUGUGAUGUACAAGGAGCUUCUCAGUGCAGGUGAAUGGCAGAGCGGGGCUGAGUCAGCCACCAGGACUGGUCACAGAGCAUGGGUGUGGGUGUCCCUGCACCAGCAGCACCCUGGGCUGUCACUAAACUGUGCCACGGAGCAGCUCAGAGUCUCAGGGACUCAAUCCCAGCCUCUCCCACAGGUGUGCCCAAAGCCAAAAAUAGGACCGGAUUGAACAGAGGAGCACGUGCAUAGGCUGGUGUCCAUGUGAGAGGUGGAAGAUUUGUGUUCCUCCUCCGGCUGGCUCAGAGGCUGCAGAUGGGUUCCUGAGGGAGUGCCCUCACCUUGGGCUGCUGGCUGUUCUGCGAUUCCCCCGCUCCAGGUGUGCCUGCUUGUAUAAAAUGCCAUCAGCCUCCUGGACCACGUCACCCCCAGUCUGCUCCGCCUGGCCUGGCUCCAGCAGGUCUGAGGCUGGAUGGAGCUCAGAGCCUCCCUUCCCACCUGUCUGGGUCAGCCAGUGUGUGGGCAGCUGGCACUGCCCCCACCCCGUUCUUCUGGUCUGUGUGCAUGCAGCAGCUUUCACAGCCCCAAGCUCACCGCUUUUGGCCAGAACUGAAUUCACGUGUAAGCACCUACCAGGAAAAAAAGAAAUGUCUGACGCUGAGGAGACUGUAGCACCAAGGGGGCAUGGGAAGGAUGGGAGCACCGGGAGCAGAGCCCAGGAGGAUGCUCCCUUGCCCUGCUGGGUGCUGUUCCCAGUUCUCCCACUGCGCCUUAUGGCACGUUCAUCAGCAGGUGCAUCUGCAGACGUGUGCGGUCAGCCGUUCCAAGAAGGAAAUCACCAUCAGAGAUGCAGAGAAGAAUCAGCCUUUGGUAGGAAAUCACCUCAACUGCUCUCAAGUAGAAAAGGUGCUGCCCCGAGAGGAACCUUUCCGGUUUCGGUUUGCUGCAUUUUCUUCUGAAAAAGAGUGGAAAGUGAGAAGUCCUGGAAGAAUCUCCCAUGGGAAGGCAACGAUGCAGUUACCACUUCCAGCUCCUAUUUGUGCAGAUUUUAAUCAAAACUGCCCAUCAAAGGGGAAAAAAGGACCCCAGAGGCCUUUCUGUAAAUGUCCUCAUGGAACCAGUUGUACUCCUGUGCUUGUAAAUCUCCCCUCUGGCAGUAAGGGAGCAGUGAAUGCCCUGUGCUUCGUGUGGGAUCUGCAGCUAUCCUGUAAGGAAUGCUGCAGCGUUGGAACCGGGGAUGGGCUGCAGUAAGGACACAUUCCUAGGAGCCACAAAGGGUUUGCUGAUAGGGAUCAGGGGCCAUAUAGCCCCUGGCUGCGCUCCAGAGGUGACCACACCGUGGCUAGAGAAAUAAGACCCCCCAGCCCCAAAGCUGUCCAAGCCUGCUGUGAACUGUUUUCAGUAAACCUCAAAAGCCUGA